rnacentral:rRNA from 1 species
UACAGAGGGUGCGAGCGUUAAUCGGAAUUACUGGGCGUAAAGAGCUCGUAGGCGGUGUGUCGCGUCGGCCGUGAAAACCUGCAGCUUAACUGUGGGCUUGCGGUCGAUACGGGCAUCACUGGAGUUCGGCAGGGGAGACUGGAAUUCCUGGUGUAGCGGUGAAAUGCGCAGAUAUCAGGAGGAACACCGGUGGCGAAGGCGGGUCUCUGGGCCGAUACUGACGCUGAGGAGCGAAAGCGUGGGGAGCGAACAGG